UACGUAGGGUGCAAGCGUUGUCCGGAAUUAUUGGGCGUAAAGAGCUCGUAGGUGGCCUGUCGCGUCGGCUGUGAAAACUCGGGGCUCAACUCCGAGCUUGCAGUCGAUACGGGCAGGCUAGAGUUCGGCAGGGGAGACUGGAAUUCCUGGUGUAGCGGUGAAAUGCGCAGAUAUCAGGAGGAACACCGGUGGCGAAGGCGGGUCUCUGGGCCGAUACUGACACUGAGGAGCGAAAGCGUGGGGAGCAAACGGG
rnacentral:rRNA from 1 species